rnacentral:lncRNA from 1 species
AUGUGCACAUGGAGAGAGAGCCUGACAGACCUGGAGGACGCCAUGCUACAGAAGUCUAGGAGGAGGAGGGGAAACGUUUCCAUAUUCAAGAGCCUUUCGUGGCCCCGAGGUGCUCUGGUGCUGAUGCCCCUGGGUCAGGGAGAUGAAGCCCAUGCUCCUAACUGGCACAGACCCUGCCCUGGCACUGAGAGAUUGUGGGUGAUCAUCUGCCAGCAGCAAGAGGAUAUUCAGAGGAGCUCUUCUGCCAAGGAAGAGGAGAAAAUGUAGAGGAAUUGCUCACUUCAGGUAAGAUUAGGGAG